rnacentral:lncRNA from 1 species
ACCACUCACUCCCCCUCCCAUCGUGUAUCCAAAAGUCUGUAAUGAUGACACUACAUUCUGUAGGGAGGUUUAAACAAGAGCCCCCUUUCUCUGUUAACCAAUUGGUGAAUGUAUACUGUAUGUUUAAACUGUGACGUAUUUUUGCUUUAAGAAGGAGCCCCCACUCCGGGGAAUAAAGCAUUCCUGAGUUUUUCACUGAUCAGAAACUUUGUCUCCGGUGUGAAUUACUUCUAGGGAUAGCGUGCACGCAUUAAUCAAUCAAUUUGGAAGGUGUAGAUAGACAAAUUAUCAAAGUUUUCUUUGGUCCAAAUCAGUUGGCGCACUUCCGAACAGGGACGAGAGGGUUGUUGUUAUUCUGCUCGAAGCCGUAAAAUCCCAGGACCGGAGAGGAGACCCCCAGAGAUUGGAAAAAAAAAAAAAGAGCCUGAUCACCUCUGCAUAUGGUAAAUGAGUAACUUACCUAUAUUUUCCAUUCUUUGGAAUUGGUCUGCACUCUGGGCCUUCACUCGGCUUCCUGUGGUUAACGUCAGACAGGUAUAUAGUAUGCCCACAUGUCCCCUUUUAUAUAGAACCUGUCACUUGUCUAUCUACAGCCUGAGUCCUGAGUGUGAGUUUUAUGUGUGAAAGUGUCUGUUUGAGAAUCUGUUUUACUUUCUUGUGAUUAUUUAAUUCAGGGUGCAAAUAUACCUGGAGUUUUUAGGCCAGAUUAUAUUAAUUAAUAUUUUAAUAUUAAUUCUUGGCGUUUCCUUUGUUGUUUUUCAUUUAAAUUCAGGUGUGCAGAAUAGCCCCUGGUGGUUAGUUUUUGUCCGAUUAAGAAUAGAUCGUGGCGUUUCCUUUGUUGUUUUUAAUUUAAAUUCAGGUGUGCAGAAUAGCCCCUGGUGGUUAGUUUUUGUCCGAUUAAGAAUAGAUCGUGGCGUUUCCUUUGUUGUUUUUCCUUUAAGUUCAGGCGUGCAGAAUAGCCCCUGGAGGUUUAGUUUUUUGUCCGAUUCAUAUUAAAAAUAGAUCGUGGCGAUUCUUUUGUUGUUUUAAUAAAAAACAACAAACAAAGAGUGAAGUUGUUGUAUAUGUGCUUGAGUGUUUCUGUGUGUGAUUUGAUUUAUUAUAAGCCGGCAUUUAUUUUAAGAACUUUGUGAUUUAAUUACAUCUGUAUUUUGUGCUUUUGUCUGUGUAUGUCUUGUUAGGUACCAUAUAUGUUAAUUGUAAUCUAUACAAUUUGUAUCGUUACUCUCCUAUUCUAUCUUUUGUCCUAAGGAGAGCUGUGCUUAGGCAAUCACAUGGUUAAAAAACUUUGUGCUUGCAAGUCUUCCUCCCUCCUCCCCCCUCCUUCUUUGUUGCUUUCUCUUGCUCUGACUGCUAUGAGUAUUGGCUACAGGGGGGUGGGGUGAAUGGGUGAAAUGCUUGUAAACUCAGUGAGGAAUGUGAGGGAAACAAGGUAUAUUUGCUGGACGAAUAACCUAGUUAGGAACUUUGUGUAAUCUUGUAUAUGUUGUUAAGUAAGAGGUUAUUGGCAUGUUGGAAUAAGGAAAGUUAGAUUUUGUUGGAACAAAUGAAUUGUGGAAUUUAUAAAUGAUAUCGCAGAGAAAAGUAAAUUGCAGUUUGCAUUUAAUAGCAGCUAUUCAGAUGCUGUUUUGUGGCAAUCUUUAUACACACAAUGUGAAAUUGCCAAUAGUGAAAUUGACAAGAAAUUGUUUGUUAAUAAGAAAAAAAAAAAAAAAAAAAAAAAGAUCAGAAAUGUUAUGAAACUAGUCUGUACUUACAGUGCAUUGAUUUGUAAACGUAAUGCAGGUCAAGACAAUUUAGAAUCAUCAGAAAAAGAAGUAGAUUUGAAUGGGUUAACAGAAGACAAAUCAGAUUUAAAUGAACAGUGUAACAAUGUAACAGGGAGCACAUGCUGUAAACAGUCAGAAACAGUCUGUGAAUUAGAGGAUAGAGUUGAACUAAGAAAUGAUCUUAUUUGCCAGCUUAGAAAUGAAGUUAAGCAAGUGUGUGUUAAUACAAGAAAAAUACAGACACAGAAUCUAAUCCCAGAACCAAUAGAUACUGAAAAUGUAUCCUCACAGAGUGAUUUGCAGAAAAUAUAAAUUUCAAGACAGAGCUGCAAAACUUAAUUUGAAAAUACAUGAACAAUUAAUGAAAAUUGUGAAAUGUAUUCCAGUUUAUGACACGUCAGUGGAUGCAUUUACUAAUGCUGGAAUGUUUGAGUCAAAUGUGGACAAAUACAGCCUAAAUGACGAACAAAGGAAUAGAUUGUUUAAAAUAUGGCUGCCGACUCAAAUGGCAUGUAGACUGACCACGCUUGUAAAAUUUGAGGACAAUGAUAAAAUAAUAUAUGGAAAUUAGGAGACAGACAAGCAAUGCAGCGUAACACAGAAAGUUAUAAGAAUCAGAUAACUUCAAGAGAUAUGAUCAGUUUAGGGAAUGAGCAUGGAUAUGUCUGCCAACAGAUGUACACAGGCUGAUUCCAGAAUUAAGAACAGCACAAGAAUAGAGAUCUAUGUCAGUUUAUUGUUUUAAAUGAAUUGUUAGUCUGUACUGUCUUUCAUUGUUUUUAUAUGUGUUAUAAGAAAGUAUUAGGUUAAUUAAAAUAAAAAUUUAAAUCAAGUUUGCACAUAUGGCAGAAUGAGAUACACUAAUGUAGCAGUGAGGAACAUGCAAUGUUAUGUUGGGUGUAUGCAAUUAUAUAGUAACUCCAAUCAUUUUACAGAAGAAAAAACAAUAGAUUUAUUCUUUGUUGCUUCUGAGGUUGAUUUAAAAUCUUUGAUUUAAUUCAUGAGAAUGAGAUUUUAAUAUCAUGACUGAUAAUGGAUUACUGUAUAUUGCAACGCCUGGACAUACACAUGGUUUGGAUAUACUGAAGACAAAAGGAAUAAUAUAUGGGAAUGGAUAAGGCUGAUUUCCCCCUAUCCACAGCUACGCCUACUCCUAAAGUAACAUCGCGUACAUCCUUACUAUGCCCUUUUACUGUAGAAUUUCCCGAAUCCUAAUGACCAAUUCCACUACAUGGUGUGACUUGUUUAAGCCUAAGAUAAAUUGGCUGAUCAGGCUACCUGUAUUAACAAUGUCAUCAACGAUGAGUUAGCAUCUGUGGAGAAGUAUCACUUCAGGUUGUCCCAAAUUUUCUUUUAACUUAAGUUUUAGUACAUAGUAAGGCCCAUGCCCAACAACUAUAUGCAGCCUUGUAUAGCAGGCCACAUGACAUCUAUUUGUACCAAGCAAGGCCUGCCUGACUCCUCAUUCCUGUCUAACAUUGUUGUCUCCUGCAUAAGUGUAGAUGGCUCUCUUUGGAGUAGCCUGUUAACUAAGCCUUGCUUUGUGGUUACUUUCACCUGUCCAAUUAAUCUGCUAGGUGCAGAUGUCCUUCCCCCACUUGCAGGCCCCUAUCACCUUAUUAUUUAUUUUGUUCCACACAGUGAAACCUGACCAAGAGGCAAGGGUCCUAGCUAGUUCCCCCAAUACCUUUACCUGAAUUAUACAGGCCCCAAAGCCUGUCCAAGCUCUUACUAUUCCCUAACAGGUUAAGGCUCUGGUGUCGAAUGGUGCCCUGGUUACCUGAGACUUUCCAUGCAAUAUCCCACCUCUCCUUGUGAUGGACGAAUUCUGUGCAGGAUAAUGUCACCCUGCAGGGAUGAUACUCUAUUUACCUGGCCACUCUUCUGCCACUUCCCAAGGGGGGAAAUGAUAAGACACUGACUAUUUUUUUUUUUAGCAUUUUUCUUAUGAUCUGUUCCGGAUUUGCUGUCACUACAGUGGACCAGGUAUCUCACCUCAACAAUGUCUGCACAAGAAGUUGAGCUAUAGGCUCCCAUCACAGCAUGCAAGAUCUCUGAAGGAAGACUGAUCUCGGAGAAAGCAUGUGGCAACUCUCUGGCUGACUAAGUUGUUCAAUAAGUUGUAAGUGCACUAAGGAAAGUGGACAGAAAAGUGUCUACUGAAGAAACUCCCAUAUUCACCAUGUAAGAUCCUACCCACAGACAUCAAGCUCCCGAAGGAAUAACAAGCAAGCUACUGACCCUGGAAAGAAAGAAAAAACAAACAAACCACAAGCUGGAAACAGAAAGGGGCAACUCUUAAAGACAGGCUGUACUUCAACAAUCUCAAGUUAUACUUGCCCAAGAACAUAUACUCAGCAGUGGUCCAGUGGGCCUACGGAGCAUCUGUCCAGAACCCUCAUGAACUCUUUUGAUCAAUAAAUACUCUGAAGUACCAGGAAUUGCCUCUCUGACCAACAGUUACUGUAAAUCUUGUGCC